CCUACGGGAGGCAGCAGUGAGGAAUAUUGGUCAAUGGGCGAGAGCCUGACCCAGCCAAGUCGCGUGAGGGAGUACUGCCCUAUGGGUUGUAAACCUCUUUUGUCGGGGAGCAAAAGCCGGACGUGUCCGGCGGUGGGAGUACCCGAAGAAAAAGCAGCGGCUAACUCCGUGCCAGCAGCCGCGGUAAUGCGGAGGAUGUGAGCGUUAUCCGGAUUUGUUGGGUUUAAGGGGGGCGCAGGCGGAUUGUUAGGUCAGCGGUCAAAUCGUGGGGCUCAACCCCAUCCAGCCGUUGAAACUGGGGAUCUAGAGUGUGAGAGAGGUAUGCAGAAUGCGUGGUGUAGCGGUGAAAUGCAUAGAUAUCACGCAGAACCCCGAUUGCGAAGGCAGCAUACCGGUGCACAACUGACGCUCAGGCACGAAAGCGUGGGUAUCGAACAGGAUUAGAUACCCCUGUAGUC
rnacentral:rRNA from 1 species